rnacentral:rRNA from 1 species
UACGUAGGGCGCAAGCGUUGUCCGGAAUUAUUGGGCGUAAAGAGCUCGUAGGCGGUUUGUCGCGUCUGCUGUGAAAACUGGGGGCUCAACCCCCAGCCUGCAGUGGGUACGGGCAGACUAGAGUGCGGUAGGGGAGAUUGGAAUUCCUGGUGUAGCGGUGGAAUGCGCAGAUAUCAGGAGGAACACCGAUGGCGAAGGCAGAUCUCUGGGCCGUAACUGACGCUGAGGAGCGAAAGCGUGGGUAGCAAACAGG